GACGAACGCUGGCGGCGUGCUUAACACAUGCAAGUCGAACGGAAAGGCCCUGCUUUUGUGGGGUGCUCGAGUGGCGAACGGGUGAGUAACACGUGAGUAACCUGCCCUUGACUUUGGGAUAACUUCAGGAAACUGGGGCUAAUACCGGAUAGGAGCUCCUGCUGCAUGGUGGGGGUUGGAAAGUUUCGGCGGUUGGGGAUGGACUCGCGGCUUAUCAGCUUGUUGGUGGGGUAGUGGCUUACCAAGGCUUUGACGGGUAGCCGGCCUGAGAGGGUGACCGGCCACAUUGGGACUGAGAUACGGCCCAGACUCCUACGGGAGGCAACAGUGGGGAAUAUUGCGCAAUGGGCGGAAGCCUGAUGCAGCAACGCCGCGUGCGGGAUGACGGCCUUCGGGUUGUAAACCGCUUUCGCCUGUGACGAAGCGUGAGUGACGGUAAUGGGUAAAGAAGCACCGGCUAACUACGUG
rnacentral:rRNA from 1 species